rnacentral:sRNA from 1 species
ACUCACACCCAUCUCUCUCUCUCUUCUCCCUCUCUCCACUCUCUCCACUCUCUCUCACACAACCGGCCGUGUUGGCACGUGGCGGCCAACCGGGGCUAGCAGACAAGCCAUGCCUACCAAGCACCCCAGCAGCAGCCUAGCAGCAGCCUAGCAGGAGCCUAGCAGGGACCCUAAUUGUUCUGCCGCCCGCGGGGCUCUCUGGGCUGCAGCGCCACGAUGAUGAUGAUGGCGAUGAUGGCGGUUGAUGGUAAUGCAAGCUAUUGUAUAUUACUAGUUUUCAUCUAUUGACGCUCAGUUGGUAAUUCCGCACCAAGGAAGGACUACGGAGCUACAUGUAUCUCCUCGUACUAGCCUUAGUUCCUCGUUUACUAGUAACAGCGAGUUUGUUUGUUUGUUUACAGGAACCGCCGUCUGAACCGUUCGUUCCCUCGCCAUGAAACCUUGUCCCGAGAUAUGCUUGGGUGCGCAACCAUAGCUCGGCCUGAGCGU